rnacentral:rRNA from 1 species
AGCCUCCAUUAGUGUAAAUAAAACUUGAUGCAGUUGAACAGCUCGAAGUCAAAUCUGGUGCAUCAUACCCAAAAACCUUAUCUUGAAAGGCAAAGUGUUUCACGGCGUCGUAAAAAAAGGUAUGAGGUAUGAGCAUCUAAGUUGUGUAUCCAAAUAGGUGUUUAAUCGCAUCUAGGAUACACGACUAAUAUGGGUUACUUUGAUUUAAUCAGAGUGCUCAGAGCACCCUUUGGGGUUGCAUGGUAAAGCAAACUAUAAUAGAGGAAGCCUGAUUCAGCCUAGCUGUUCAAGCUUGAAAAAUCAGUAAUGUUCAACAGGAACAUGCGGGGGUGAACCAACUGCUCGGGAAGGGGUGAAAUCCGUUGAUCCUUGCAAGUGGCCCUAAAGCGAAAGCAUUCAC